UACGGAGGGUGCAAGCGUUAUCCGGAUUCACUGGGUUUAAAGGGUGCGUAGGUGGGCAGGUAAGUCAGUGGUGAAAUCUCCGGGCUUAACUCGGAAACUGCCCAUUGAUACUAUCUGUCUUGAAUACCGUGGAGGUUAGCGGAAUAUGUCAUGUAGCGGUGAAAUGCUUAGAUAUGACAUAGAACACCAAAUUGCGAAGGCAGCUGGGCUACACGAAUAUUGACACUUGAUGCACGAAAGCGUGGGGAUCAAAACAGGAUUGAGA
rnacentral:rRNA from 1 species